GCCGAGCUGGCUCAGUUGGUAGAGUGUGUGACUUUUGAUCUCAGGGUUGUGAGUUUGACCCUCACAUUGGCU
rnacentral:tRNA from 1 species